rnacentral:rRNA from 1 species
UACAGAGGGUGCGAGCGUUGUUCGGAAUUAUUGGGCGUAAAGCGCUUGUAGGCGGCCUGUCAAGUCGCGUGUGAAAUCCCCUGGCUUAACCAGGGAAGUGCGCGCGAAACUGAAGGGCUUGAGUGCCGGAGAGGGUCGCGGAAUUCCCGGUGUAGAGGUGAAAUUCGUAGAUAUCGGGAGGAACACCAGUGGCGAAGGCGGCGACCUGGACGGACACUGACGCUGAGGCACGAAAGCGUGGGGAGCAAACAGG